CACAGUAAGUUACUCAAAAACAAGAGCAGUGUGUGUGUGUGACAAUGACUGUUUUUCACAUGAUAGCUGGUUUUUAUUCCGCAUGACUGCUGACAAAACUUACCCUGGGAGCUACGGUGGCUGAUGGAGGACACUUUUUGCAGAGGAAUGUCUCUUUUUGGCUCUUCAGUUAUUGUCCACCAGGUCAGGUUACACACCUGGGAAAAAUUGAAGAAGCAAAACCAAGAAAGUUUCAUUUAUUCACUAUGAAACAGUCUGUGGACAACGUGCCAGCAGCGAGAGCAGACACACCCAGGACGUGCUCUAUUAAAACAGGGAUCGUGAAUAUCCAGAGGACUGGUCUUUACUUGCUGGCGAUCGACGCUUUCCUUCUCAUUUCCUCUGCACUUCAUUCUGCAAGUUUUAAUUGUGACAGUCACAGCAGGCCUCUGUCGCUCACAGUCUGUUAUCAUAGAUCAGCAAUGACUUUUAUUGUUUAAAGUGAGAACCCCGGCUCCUAUAGAGGAAGCAAUAAACAAUACACUUCAUGAAGUGAAUUACUGAUACACACAGCUUUGAGCUCACACACAAGGGACACCACACCAAGCACUCUGUGCGCAUGUGUGUGUGUGAGCUGUACACAGCUUGAUCCCAUUUGAGGCUAAUAAAACUAUGCAGCCGUUACGGUGUAAGUGAAAGGACAAACAGAGCAAACAGGGGAAAACCUCAAAAGUCCAGAAUGUUCUGAGGGCAGGUAUCCAGGAUGGAGGGUUAAGCUUCCUUCAGUGUGUAACAACAACUUACAGAUGUGUUUUCUUUCUUUGUUGUAAGUGUGUUUGGAAUAAAAUAGCUUUUUUUAACUACA